CCCGCACAGGGGCGGCGGCCGCCGAGGAGGGCGGUUGGGGGCGGAGGAGCCGGACUGCUCCUGGCGGCGGCGGCGGCCCCGGCGAGGACCAGAGCCCCGGCCGAGGCCGCUUUACCACCAGCGAUUACGAGGGACAGCGGAGAACUAUUUUUAUACGUUCAAGAAUGAAGAAUUCAGACAGAUGAGAAGCAUGGAGGAAAUCCUACGCAAUGCGUUUGAAAAAGGACCUUAUGUGCAGCUUUUGAAGUAAUCGUUUAAAUCAAAAUUUAGAGGCUGCAGCCUCAAAAAAAGCAAUUAGUCCAUCUUGAUCGCAGCCAUCCAGAAUUUCCAGAAGAAGAGGAACUUUUGUUUUCACAUUGGUGCCUUUAAAUUUAAAUUUAUCUAUGAAGAGAUCUGUGAUCAUACCUGCAAAAAUAAAGUU